UACGUAGGGUGCAAGCGUUAAUCGGAAUCACUGGGCGUAAAGGGUGCGUAGGCGGGUCUUUAAGUCAGGGGUGAAAUCCUGGAGCUCAACUCCAGAACUGCCUUUGAUACUGAGGAUCUUGAGUUCGGGAGAGGUGAGUGGAACUGCGAGUGUAGAGGUGAAAUUCGUAGAUAUUCGCAAGAACACCAGUGGCGAAGGCGGCUCACUGGCCCGAUACUGACGCUGAGGCACGAAAGCGUGGGGAGCAAACAGG
rnacentral:rRNA from 1 species